GCGGCUGCUAUACAUGCAGUCGAACGCUUCUUUUUCCACCGGAGCUUGCUCCACCGGAAAAAGAGGAGUGGCGAACGGGUGAGUAACACGUGGGUAACCUGCCCAUCAGAAGGGGAUAACACUUGGAAACAGGUGCUAAUACCGUAUAACAAUCUAAACCGCAUGGUUUCAAUUUGAAAGGCGCUUUCGGGUGUCGCUGGAUGGAUGGACCCGCGGUGCAUUAUCUAUUUGGUGAGGUAACGGCUCACCAAGGCGACUAUGCAUAGCCCACCUGAGAGGGUGAUCGGCCACAUUGGGACUGAGACACGGCCCAAACUCCUACGGGAGGCAGCAGUAGGGAAUCUUCGGCAAUGGACGAAAGUCUGACCGAGCAACGCCGCGAGAGUGAAGAAUGUUUUCAGAUCGUAAAACUCUGUUGUUAGAGAAGAACAAAGAUGAGAGUAACUGUUCAUCCCUUGACGGUAUCUAACCAAAAAGCCACGGCUAACUACGUGCCAGCAGCCGCGGUAAUACGUAGGUGGCAAGCGUUGUCCGGAUUUAUUGGGCGUAAAGCGAGCGCAGGCGGUUUCUUAAGUCUGAUGUGAAAGCCCCCGGCUCAACCGGGGAGGGUCAUUGGAAACUGGGAGACUUGAGUGCAAAAGAGGAGAGUGGAAUUCCAUGUGUAGCGGUGAAAUGCGUAGAUAUAUGGAGGAACACCAGUGGCAAAGGCGGCUCUGUGGUCUGUAACUGACGCUGAGGCUCGAAAGCGUGGGGAGCAAACAGGAUUAGAUACCCUGGUAGUCCACGCCGUACACGAUGAGUGCUAGUGUUGGAGGGUUUCCGCCCUUCAGUGCUGCAGCUAACGCAUAAGCACUCCGCCUGGGGAGUCGACCGCAGGUUGAACUCAAGGAAUUGACGGGGCCCGCACAGCGGUGGAACAUGUGGUUUAUUCAAACCACGCGAAGACCUUACAGGUCUUGACUCCUUUGACACUCUAAAAAAGAUUUCCCUUCGGGGCAAGUGACGGGGGUGCAGGGUGUCCCCACUCGCGCCAGAAAUGUGGGUUAAUCCCCAAAAACGCACCCUUAUGGUAUUCCCACCUUUAUUGGGACUCUAGGAAAUGCCGG
rnacentral:rRNA from 1 species